GAUAAUGAUUCCUCAUCAUCAAAUAUGUUUUUUUCAGAUACUUGUUCACAGCAAGUUUCACCAAAAGAUGAUGAUUCCUAAAUGUGCAAAUGAAUAUUGGAAAAGAAUGUCAAACCCUAUAAAGUUGGUGUUACCUUAUGGUGUUGAGAAGAAAGUGAAUUGGACCAAAAGAGGAGAAAAGAUUUGGUUGGAACAAGGUUGGAAAAAGGUUGUGGAAUUGUGUGGUUUGAGUUAUGAGUGGUUGUUGACUUUUGACUACAAUGGAAGGUCUCGUUUUGAAGUCAAAGUAUAUGAUACCACUGCUUUAAGGGUAGCUUAUUAUGAUGUUGUUGAGAAUAACAAAGAUAUUGAUGAAACUGAGAGCGAUGAUGAUGAUGAUGAUGAUGAUGAUGAAUCUCAGCAUGAAUUUGUUCAAGAACACUUCAAGAGAAAGAAGACUAACACAGUUAAUGGGAGAAAUGGGAAUCCCAGUUUCAAGAUUCGAAUUCAAGAAUCAUAUGUUGGGUCAAGUUGCGUGGCAAUACCAGCAACGUUUGCAAGGAAGCAUUUGGAGGAAGGACCGAUUCGUAUGAAUGUGGGUAACAGAACUUGGACUGUGUGCUACAAAACUUGGAGAGGAAGUGACAGAUAUCGCAGACACAAAUUGCAAAGUGGGUGGCUCAGAUUUAGAAGAGAGAACAAUUUAGAGCCUCCUGGGAUUCUCUCAAACUCACUCGAUCAUGCUCAAACCUGGAAAGAAGGGAUGUUCUCGGUAAUACAAUUCAUCAAUUUCCAGAUUCAAAGUCGCAAUCUUUUGAGAAUUUACAUGAACUUACAGCAGGUAAAGUGGCUGCUAAUCUUGAAAGCCCCAGGUCUGUGAUGACUCACUGCAGUGCUGAUAGAGUUAUGUUGAGAAGGCAUUCCUCAAGCCAAGUUCUUCCUUCUGGAAGUAAGAGACUUUGGUGCAAGAUGUUUCUCUGGAGCCAUAGGAACAUACAUAGACCUAUUUCAAGCAAAUCAACACAGGUGAAUCCUGGUGUGGCUGUAACGCACAAUCCAUACGGGUACUCUUCCGACACCCUUGAACCGAAGCACAAGCAGUCACCAGGAAAUGUGGAAUGGUAAGUAGUAUUGUAUUCCAUUCAUUACGAUUAAUCACACGAAACCUUACCAGUUACCAAUUACGAACGUGAGUGUGAUUCAGAAGAGAGACGAGAGGAUAUUUCGGUUGAGUAAGAACAAGGCUUCUUUGAAAUCUGCAGCUGAUACAAGAUUUGAGUUCUGAUUCUCUCAUUUUAAGGCUCUUCAGGGUGUUCUAAGAGGCGGCGCAGAGGUGGUAGUGAAGCGAAUAUCACAAGAGAAUGACGGCGUGAGAGAGUUCCUAGCAGAAAUUUCAAGCCUUGGAAGAUUGAAGCAGAGAAACUUGGUUGCUCUGAGAGGAUGGUGCAAGAAAGACAUGGGAAAUUUCUUGUUAGUUUAUGAAUACAUGGAUAAUGGGAGUUUGGAUAAGAGAGUGUUUUGUGAUGAGAGCAUGAUGCUGAACUGUG